UAAGAAAGAAAGCAGUAUAAAUAGCAGAGCACAUCAUCUUUGUUCUAUCUAUGAGCUAUCUUGGGCGCAGCACAAAUAAUACCUGUGCGCGAGAGAUCAAGGCCUAUAGUCAUGAGUGGGGGUGCUGAGAUGAUUGCUGGAGCUGUUGUGCAGCGUGUGGCUGGCAUGCUUGGUCAGGCUGCCUGGGAAAGGGUGGAGCUUCUGCAGAGGUUCAGUGAUGAUUUUGAGGAGAUGAAGGGCACCUUGAUCACUGUGAAGGCCGUGACGGCGGAUGCUGAGAAACGCUCCCAACGUAGUGAAUCGGUCCGGCUUUGGCUCAAGAAGCUCAAAUCUGCUGCCUACAACAUUGAAGACAUGAUUGAUGAGCUGGAGGCAAAUACAAAGAUAUGGAGGAGUAGCACAUGCCCGGUUAAAUUGGUGUUUAUGUCAUUCCAUCCACUAAUCACACGCUUCACCCUGUCAAACAAGAUGAGAAAAAUCAGGGAAGAGCUAGAUAAAAUAGCAGAGGAACAUAGAAAGUUCAAUUUUCUGCAACUAGCAGAUACAAGACCUGUGAACAUGAAUAACCAAGAAACAUCUGUGGUUUCUAGUGAUAAAAUUGAGAUGGUAGGAAGAGAAAGUGAAAAAACCAGGAUACUAAAUUUGGCAUUGCAGAAUGAUGAUCCAGCAAAAAUAUCCAUCAUUCCCAUUGUUGGACUUGGUGGUAUGGGUAAGACAACACUUGCAAAAUCUGUUUUUGUUGCUAAGGAGACAAAUAUAUUUGAGGUCAAAGCAUGGGUCCAUGUCUCGAUGGAGUUUGAUGUGAACAAGAUUGUAGCUGCUAUUAUCUCUCAGGUUGAAGGUAGCCUCCAAGCAAAUGAUACUAGACUACAGAAUCUAAAUUCUUGCCUUCAACGCAUACUUUCAGGCAAGAUUUAUUUAAUUGUCUUGGAUGACCUAUGGGAGAAAAGGGGAGAUAGUUUGGAGAAAUUGAUGAAAAUGUUACAGUACGGUAACGAAGGGAGCAAGAUAAUAGUAACCACCCGAAGUGAUCAAGUUGCUAAAGCAUUAUCUAUCAUCCGACCUUCAGAAUUUCAUACCGUUCCACCAACUAGAUUGGAGGCUUUAUCAAGUGAUGAUUGUUUUUCUAUUAUGAAUCCUUCAUUGCAAGGAAAUAGGCUGGAUGUCGACCUUAUCAAGAUUGGAGAAGAAAUUGCUAAGAAAUGUGGUGGAGUACCGCUAGUUGCUAAAGCUCUUGGUUACGUGAUGAAUAAGCAUUGCACAAAAGAAGCAUGGAUUGCACUUAAAGACAGUAAUAUUCUUGAGAUCAAAGAUGAUGAUUAUGGGAUUAUGAGUGGCUUGAUGCUAAGUUAUUACCACAUGCCCUCACACCAGAAACUAUGUUUCAUGUAUUGCUCUGUCUUUCCUAAGAGCCAUAACAUAGAUCAUGACAGCUUGAUUCAACAAUGGGUUGCUCUUGGAUUCAUUCAAGGUGAUCAUGGGAUCUCACUCCACCAAGUUGGUCAGGACUGUAUUAAUGAUUUCUUGGGAAUGUCCUUCCUUACUCAUUCAACUACCCCUGAGGUACUUGAUUCCGGGAGGUUCAAACCCACACUGAAAUUCCAUAUGCAUGAUGUGGUACAUGAUCUCACAAGAUAUGUUGCCAGUGAAGAAUUUUCAUAUGUAAAAACAAUGAUGCACAACAAUAGAACUGACAAUCGGAACUGUCACUAUCAGCUAUUGAUGAAUCAUGAGGAGUCUUCAUCAGCCUUUAAGUCUUUGCCACCAAAGGUUAGGGCCAUGCAUUUCAGAGAAUGCAAUAAACUGCAUCUUCCUAAGCAAGCAUUCUCACAAGCAUUAUAUCUGAGAGUUUUGGAUUUGAGUGGAUGCCAUGUGUCAGAGCUACCGGGUUCUGUUUGUAAACUAAAGCUAUUAAGGUAUCUUGAUGCUUCCAACCUUCCUAUCCCAAACUUUCCUAAAUCCUUGAACCGUCUCCUAAACUUGCAAACCUUGAUACUUUCAAACACUUCUCUGAAGGCACUGCCCACAAACGUUGGUUGCCUCCAAAAGCUGCAAUACUUUGACCUAUCAGGAUGUGUCAACCUUCAUGAACUUCCCACCUCUUUCGGUAACCUCAGUGCUUUGCUCUUCUUAAACUUGGCAAGCUGCCAUGAACUGCCUACCCUUCCAGAAUCCUUUGGCAAGUUGCAUAAGCUUCAGUUUUUGAACCUAUCCGAUUGCUACAAACUCCACUCACUACCAGAAUCUUGUUGUCAACUUCAUGAUCUAACACAUCUUGAGCUGUCGGAUUGCCAUAAUCUUGAAAAGGUCCCAGAUUGCAUUGAUCAACUUUCUAAGCUUGAGUAUCUGAACAUGACAAGCUGUUCCAAGGUUCAAAUGUUGCCCGAGUCUCUAUGCAAACUCAUGAUGUUAAAGCAUCUAAAUUUGUCGUUCUGUGUAAAACUUGAACAUCUGCCUGCUUCUAUUGGUGUUUUACGACUUCAGAGUUUGGAUCUGGAAGGCUGCUUUUUCCUUGAUGGCUUGCCGGAUGGCAUUUUUAACAUGUCUACACUUGUACAUGUCGAACGAGCAGUAUUUGCAAUACAUAUACGUUCUGAAGUUGAUAAACUUAGGGAACAACUAAACCUGGAAAGGUCAUGUGAGCUUGAUGGACGUGGUGAUCUAUGGAGUCAAAUUUUAGAGCUCGAGAAGACAGGGUGCCUUGAGCUGCAGAUCAAAGAUCUUCAGAAUGUCAAGAAUCUGGAAGGGGCAGACCAGGCAAAACUGUUGAACAGCUCAAAUCUUACGAGUCUGUGGCUUUCAUGGGGACAUGGUGAAAGUAGUAUGGUGGAGCAUGCAGAUGCAUCGGUUGACAAAUCGGUGCUGGAGAAGCUUGUGCCUCCUAGAAAUCUCCGACACCUUCAUCUUAAUGGUUACAUGAGCAUAGACUUCUCUAGAUGGAUGCUGGACCUUCCUUCCUACCUACCUCAUCUUUCCACCAUCGUUCUUCUCAAUCUGAAAGGGUGCAGCCACCUCCCUCCACUUGGGCGCCUGCCAAAUUUGAGAGCAUUGUGGUUGGGUAGAAUGCCCAAUCUCAAAAGUGUCGGGAGGGAAUUUUAUGGGGAUCACGGAAGUUGCUCGAAGCUAAGAAUGAUUCUUUUGGUGGAAAUGGACAACUUGGAAGGGUGGUGGACAACGAGAACGUCUAAUGAAGAUGAAGAGUUCUUAAUCCCUAAUUUACAUCUGCUGUUUGCUUUGGAUUGCCCAAAGUUGAAAUUCCUGCCUUAUCCCCCAAGGAGCGUGACCUGGGCGGUACGGAAUAGCGAUCACGUUUUGCCGGAACAUGGGUUUGGGAACCUCUCAUCUAUCACUUCUCCAUCGUUCCUUUUCAUAGGGGGCACAUCCCCUUCUCCUGAAGCGUGGCAUAGGGCCCGGUAUCUCUGUUCUAUCGAGAACCUUGUUCUUUCCACCCUCACGGGUCUUACAACAUUGCCAGAGGUUAUCCGAUGCUUCGUUUCCCUCCGGGAAUUCUGGGUAGAGUGCUGUUAUGACUUGGAGACACUGCCAGAAUGGCUGGGAGAUUUAACUUCUUUGAGACAAAUUGAAAUCGUCUCAUGCCCAAUGCUAUCUUCACUGCCAGAAAGCAUACAGCGUCUUACUGGGUUAAAGAAACUGCGGAUCACCAACUGCCCAGCACUGUCAGAGAAGUGCCAAGGAGAGGACAAGCACAAGAUCGCUCAUAUUCUAGAAGUCAAAUUCGAGUAACUGAAGCUUCACACCUCAUCUAGCAUGCUGUCCAAAUUCCAUAUGCAUUAUGUAUACAAGGAGAGCCGGGUAUCUUCGUCCAAACGUCGUUGCCUGUGUAAAGCAUAAUGUAGACGGAACACCAUCAGGUCGCUCUCUCCAGGGUCUUAGCUGACCGGCCACUUCAAGAACCGUUGUAGAACAGCUCGAAGGUUCAACCGCCGCCUGGCGGCGGUACGCUCUUCACGCCGGUCAUGUUUCCCUUGCAUAGCGCAAGGAGAACCUCUUCAUGGCCUCGUCGAACUACCGGGGGGAGCGGGAGGAACACGUCGGGCCACCUGAUCAUGCCGUUGUGCACGGCGUCACUGUACUCCAGCAUGGCACCGCCUGGCACCGGGAGUGGCGCCACGGACGUCCACGCUGGCCCGACGUGGCACCACCACCACAUAAGCUGAAAGUGUUGUCGAAAUGUUCUUGCAUGUGUAAAGCAUAAGCACAGGCAACGGGAAAAGGGAGCGAGAUGGCCUGAAAUUUUUUGUGCAUCGUGCCUGAGGACCACAAUGAUACUGCUGCAAAAUGCGUGAAACAGAGAUGCCUACAAAGCUUGUGCUGGUGGAGUACAAGUGCAGCACUCUGUUACUGGCUCAAAGGCGACUCAGGUUAGAGCUGUAGCAGCUGGUCAACUGAAAGUCCAACAACAUGCUGAACCCCAGCACCCCUUUCUCCAGAUCGAACACCAGCAGGUUGUUCUCCAUCGUCUUCCCGCCGAUCAACCGG